rnacentral:rRNA from 1 species
CAGUCGCCGCGGUAAUACGGAGGGGGCUAGCGUUGUUCGGAAUUAUUGGGCGUAAAGAGCUCGUAGGCGGUUUGUCGCGUCUGCCGUGAAAGUCCGGGGCUCAACCCCGGAUCUGCGGUGGGUACGGGCAGACUAGAGUGAUGUAGGGGAGACUGGAAUUCCUGGUGUAGCGGUGAAAUGCGCAGAUAUCAGGAGGAACACCGAUGGCGAAGGCAGGUCUCUGGGCAUUAACUGACGCUGAGGAGCGAAAGCAUGGGGAGCGAACAGGAUUAGAUACCCCAGUAGUCCCUGUCUCUUAUAC